rnacentral:rRNA from 1 species
GAUGAACGCUGGCGGCGUGCCUAAUACAUGCAAGUCGAGCGAACAGACGAGGAGCUUGCUCCUUUGACGUUAGCGGCGGACGGGUGAGUAACACGUGGGUAACCUACCUAUAAGACUGGGAUAACUUCGGGAAACCGGAGCUAAUACCAGAUAAUAUUUCGAACCGCAUGGUUCGAUAGUGAAAGAUGGCUUUGCUAUCACUUAUAGAUGGACCUGCGCCGUAUUAGCUAGUUGGUAAGGUAACGGCUUACCAAGGCAACGAUACGUAGCCGACCUGAGAGGGUGAUCGGCCACACUUGAACUGAGGCACGGUCCAGACUCCUUCGGGAGGCAGCAGUAGGGAAUCUUCCGCAAUUGGCGGAAGCCUGACGGAGCAACGCCGCGUGGGUGAUUAAGGUUUUCGGAUCGUAAAACUCUUUUAUUAGGGAAGAACAAUCGUGUAAGUAACUGUGCACGUCUUGACGGUACCUAAUCAGAAAGCCACGGCUAACUACGUG